UACGUAGGGGGCGAGCGUUGUCCGGAUUUACUGGGCGUAAAGCGCACGUAGGCGGAUCGAUCAGUCAGGGGUGAAAUCCCAGGGCUCAACCCUGGAACUGCCUUUGAUACUGUCGAUCUGGAGUAUGGAAGAGGUGAGUGGAAUUCCGAGUGUAGAGGUGAAAUUCGUAGAUAUUCGGAGGAACACCAGUGGCGAAGGCGGCUCACUGGUCCAUUACUGACGCUGAGGUGCGAAAGCGUGGGGAGCAAACAGG
rnacentral:rRNA from 1 species